rnacentral:misc_RNA from 1 species
GAUGAAGAACGCAGCGAAAUGCGAUAAGUAAUGUGAAUUGCAGAAUUCAGUGAAUCAUCGAAUCUUUGAACGCACCUUGCGCUCUUUGGUAUUCCGAAGAGCAUGCCUGUUUGAGUGUCAUGAAAAUAUCAACCUUGACUUGGGUUUUGUGCUCUAGUCUCGGCUUGGAAUUGGGUGCUUGCCACUUUUACGAGCGGCUCACCUUAAAUGUAUUAGCUGGAUCUGUCUUUGAGACUUGGUUUGACUUGGCGUAAUAAGUAUUUCGCUAAGGACAUUCUUCGGAGUGGCCUCGUUUCUAGGACGCUUGUCCGCUUUCCAAUACAAGUUCCACCUCGUGGACAUGACUUUUUAUUAUCUGGCCUCAAAUCAGGUAGGACUACCCGCUGAACUUAAGCAUAUCAAUAAGCGGAGGA